UACAGAGGGUGCAAGCGUUAAUCGGAUUUACUGGGCGUAAAGGGUGCGUAGGUGGUUGCAUAAGUCGGAUGUGAAAGCCCCGGGCUCAACCUGGGAAUGGCAGUGGAAACUAGGGGACUGGAAUCUGGCAGAGGGGGGUGGAAUGCCGCGUGUAGCAGUGAAAUGCGUAGAGAUGCGGCGGAACACCGAUGGCGAAGGCAGCCCCCUGGGCUGAGAUUGACGCUCAGGCACGAAAGCGUGGGGAGCAAACAGG
rnacentral:rRNA from 1 species